rnacentral:rRNA from 1 species
UACGUAGGGUGCAAGCGUUGUCCGGAAUUAUUGGGCGUAAAGAGCUCGUAGGCGGCUUGUCGCGUCGGCUGUGAAAACCUGGGGCUCAACCCCGGGCCUGCAGCCGAUACGGGCAAGCUAGAAUUCGGUAGGGGAGACUGGAAUUCCUGGUGUAGCGGUGAAAUGCGCAGAUAUCUGGAGGAACACCGGUGGCGAAGGCGGCAUCCUGGACCGGUAUUGACGCUGAGGCGCGAAAGCUAGGGGAGCAAACGGG